rnacentral:rRNA from 1 species
CCUACGGGAGGCUGCAGUGGGGAAUAUUGGACAAUGGGGGCAACCCUGAUCCAGCCAUGCCGCGUGUGUUAAGAAGGCCCUCGGGUUGUAAAGCACUUUCAGUGAGGAAGAACGCCUGGUGGUUAAUACCCAUCAGGAAAGACAUCACUCACAGAAGAAGCACCGGCUAACUCCGUGCCAGCAGCCGCGGUAAUACGGAGGGUGCGAGCGUUAAUCGGAAUUACUGGGCGUAAAGCGCGCGUAGGUGGCUUGAUAAGCCGGUUGUGAAAGCCCCGGGCUCAACCUGGGAACGGCAUCCGGAACUGUCAAGCUAGAGUGCAGGAGAGGAAGGUAGAAUUCCCGGUGUAGCGGUGAAAUGCGUAGAGAUCGGGAGGAAUACCAGUGGCGAAGGCGGCCUUCUGGACUGACACUGACACUGAGGUGCGAAAGCGUGGGUAGCAAACAGGAUUAGAUACCCGUGUAGUC